rnacentral:rRNA from 1 species
GGGGAAUAUUGGGCAAUGGAUGGAAGUCUGACCCAGCCAUCCCGCGUGCCGGAUGACGGCCCUCAGGGUUGUAAACGGCUUUUAAUGGUGAAGAAUAGUUAGGGUGCGCCCUGAUGUGACGGUAGCCAUUGAAUAAGCACCGGCUAACUCCGUGCCAGCAGCCGCGGUAAUACGGAGGGUGCGAGCGUUGUCCGGAUUUAUUGGGUUUAAAGGGUGCGUAGGCUGGAGAGACAGUCAGCGGUGAAAAGCACACGCUCAACGUGUGUCUUGCCGCAGAUACUACUUUUCUUGGAUGAGGAGGAGGUUACCGGAACGGAUGGUGUAGCGGUGAAAUGCAUAGAUAUCAUCCAGAACGCCAAUUGCGAAGGCAGGUAACUGUACCUUAAUCGACGCUGAUGCACGAAAGCAUGGGUAGCGAAC